rnacentral:tRNA from 1 species
AGCUAAAUAGCUUAACCAAAAGCACAAAUCUUUUAAAUUUGGAGAUGUUUUCCACUUUAGCUAA